rnacentral:rRNA from 1 species
GUCAGAGGUGAAAUUCUUGGAUUUGCUGAAGACUAACUACUGCGAAAGCAUUCGCCAAGGAUGUUUUCGUUAAUCAGGGAACGAAAGUUAGGGGAUCGAAGACGAUCAGAUACCGUCGUAGUCUUAACCAUAAACUAUGCCGACUAGGGAUCGGACGGGCUUCUAUGAUGACCCGUUCGGCACCUUACGAGAAAUCAAAGUUUUUGGGUUCUGGGGGGAGUAUGGUCGCAAGGCUGAAACUUGAAGAAAUUGACGGAAGGGCACCACAAGGCGUGGAGCCUGCGGCUUAAUUUGACUCAACACGGGGAAACUCACCAGGUCCAGACAAAAUAAGGAUUGACAGAUUGAGAGCUCUUUCUUGAUCUUUUGGAUGGUGGUGCAUGGCCGUUCUUAGUUGGUGGAGUGAUUUGUCUGCUUAAUUGCGAUAACGAACGAGACCUCGGCCCUUAAAUAGCCCGACCCGCUUUUGCGGGCCGCUGGCUUCUUAGGGGGACUAUCGGCUCAAGCCGAUGGAAGUGCGCGGCAAUAACAGGUCUGUGAUGCCCUUAG